UUUAGAAACCUCUCAAUAAUCUAUUUAAAAACUUAAAAUUUCUUGAAAAAAUUUAAAAGAAAAUUCGAGUAGGCGAAGCGAGAAUAUUCAUCAAUUUCAAAACUAAGAAGUUCAAGUCGAAGAAAAAAUUGUUUUCUAAAUAUAUUUGGAAUUCUUGUAGGCGAAGGCAUUUCUGUAUCCCAUAUAAGUUCUAUACAGCUCCCAAGUAUGGAUACCAACAAAGGAUCUUGCGGUAGAUCAGAGGACUGGCGCAAAACCUCAUAUGUCCAUACCAUUUUUGAGUAUUUGAUAAAGAAUUUGACGAUACCGACGGAUAUGGGAACACUGAUUGCCUAUGUGAUAUUACUUUUUAUCACAUUUUAUGUAAUUGCCGCUGUGUGCCGAUUCCUAAUCUCUCUAUUUUGGCCCAUUGUCAUUGUGAUGGCCACUUACUUUCUAUUUUAUUAUCUGGAAACAACUGUCCUGUAAUAUAUUCGCACUUUUCGUCUAGCUAAAGAAGAAAAGCUUUAUUCAAG